CAUUAAUACAAUUUAUUAUCACAAUCCUCAAAACACCCCAUAAUAUCUUCAAUGAGCUGAAUUUUUGAAGCCCAGAAUGGUUUCUGUAGCUCAAAGUUUGUGGGUGGAGAUAGGUGGCGAAGCAGACACAUAUUAACUGUGUGUACAAGCAGGUGAACUGCAAGGUAGACCUGACAAAGCAACAAGUACAAGAAUGUGUGUGUGUGUGCGUUUGUCUCAUUAAUGACUGCAUCCUAAACAGCUGUGAGAUCAAAGGCAAAUCACUGACCUACUGUUUGAAUGAGAAGCAGCUGAACUGCAGAGGAUUUAGAGGCUCUAAACUUCUUCACAUAGCGUGAUUUCCUUAAGUCACAGAAUGAAAAUAAGAACAUCGUACGAAUCCUCCGCCCUUCAUGAACACAAUGAUGUCUUUUUCAUGUCUGUACUUCGAAAAAAGAGGCCACAACAGCGAGUUAAAAAAGUCUGAGCCUGAGCGAUGAUCCGGAUUUUCUUGGAGAAAAAUAACAUUAUGGUCAAUGGGAGAGAUUUCCGCCUUCCUUGGACAGUUGGUCACCUGCUGGCCAAGGGGUACGAUUUAAUGAUUUGAAACCUCUUUUGUGAGAAGCAGGACACAUAUACCUCCAUUUUGAUGUAUUAUUUAUGGCUGUGGAGUGAGAUUUGUGGGCGUGGGAGCGAUAUAUUCGAGCGAGGUUCUGUCGAUCAGAGACGGGGUCUGCACUCUAGCUGAUGACAUCAUCACUCUAAACUCUCCAAUACACACCCAUUAUAAAGCUUGAAAUUUGCUGAAAACCACAAGUUGCUUAAAGCUAAAUUGUGGAAAAACUGUAGGAGAUAGCACAAAAAAGUCAAUACAGCAUAUUUGGAGGAGAAGAUUGUGAACAUUUUAAAGCAAAAAUUAGGUCUGUAGGUGAAAGUACGCUGAAGUUAUAAGGCUGAGAAGGUGGAGGAGUAAAAGGUAGAAUUUGAAGAUUUCCCCAUUCAUUUUAAUGGGAAAAUUUUUUGCACAAAAAGUCAAAAAUAUCAAAAAGUAUAAGGGGUAGAAAAGAAAAAAGUAAUAGCCAUAAUGUCCUGAAGGAGUGGAAUAGUUUAAAGUUUGAAUGGUUGAAAUCGGACAAAGUUUGAAGGAGGAGAAGCGUUGCAAAAAAGGGACGGAAGAAUAAUAAUAAGUUUAAUAAAGAAACAGGAGAAUAACAAUAAGUGGAAAUGCUUAAUCAGCAUUUCCACUUAAUAAGUUUAAUAAAGAAACAGGAGAAUAACAAUAAGUGGAAAUGCUUAAUCAGCAUUUCCACUUAACUAGAAAAAUUGCAUUUCCUUGCAGAAAAUGCGUGGAAAUGCUGAGUGCUGAAAGCUGAAAAAGCAAUGCUAAACUGCUAAUAAAACAUGGAGAAAGGUAUAAAUGUUAAAGCUGUUGAAGGGGUGAACAGAAAUAUAAGUUGGAUAAUUGAUUAAUUGGUUGAAGGACAAAUAGUAUGAAUAUGCUCUAUAAAAGGAAAUUUUAUUCAUGCUGAAAGAGGCUAGAAAAAUGUCGAAAAUUGCACAAAGUUUGAAUGAAGAAGGAAAUUGCCUUAAAAGGCAGGAAGGUGAGAAGUGGCAUAAGUUUAAUUUUUUAAGUAUUAGAAAGGUUUGAAUCAGUUUGAAUCAGUUCAAAUUAGUUUGAAAAAUUAAAUGAUAAAUCAUCACUGAGUGACUUUAAAAUGUGAAAAAUCUAAAUGUAUAUAAAUCCUAAAUACACCCCCUAAUGUCCUCAAUGAGCUCAAAUUUUAAAGCCCUGAAUGGUUUCUGUAGGUCAAAGGUCAUGUGAGGAGAUAGGGGCUGAAGUUUUUUCAAGCGCUCUAGUAAAGGGUUUUAAGUGUCAUCCCCAGUGCUAUGUGUGCUGAGCCUGGCUUCAUGUGUCUCAUAUGGCCAUUAGAAGCAGCUUUCCAGUCAGCUGUGUGUCUCCAGGUGCACUAAUUGGUUGCCAUGGGGACCUUGGAUGCAUAACUAUAGCAGGAGAAAGAAGGCUUGAAGCUAAGGAAACAGGACUCCAAGUAGGCCCUGACGCUCAUCCUCUGUAUCUAUUCCUGAUAAGGAGCUUGUGAGAACACAAGACUCUGCUAAACACAUUAAUACAAUUUAUUAUCACAAUCCUCAAAACACCCCAUAAUAUCUUCAAUGAGCUGAAUUUUAGAAGCCCAGAAUGGUUUCUGUAGCUCUAAGUUUGUGGGUGGAGAUAGGUGGCGAAGCAGACACAUAUUAACUGUGUGUACAAGCAGCUGAACUGCAAGGUAGACCUCAUAAAGCAACAAGUACAAGAAUGUGUGUGUGUGUGUGUGUCUCGUUAAUGACUGCAUCCUAAACAGCUGUGAGAUCAAAGGCAAAUCACUGACCUACUGUUUGAAUGAGAAGCAGCUGAACUGCAGAGGAUUUAGAGGCUCUAAA
rnacentral:lncRNA from 1 species